rnacentral:tRNA from 1 species
AAGGAUUUAAGUUAAGGAAACUAGUAACCUUCAAAGUUGCCAAUAAAGAACACUCUUUAAGCCUUA